rnacentral:lncRNA from 1 species
AACACAAGUGAACCAAAAAUAGAUAAUAAAGAUAUAAACAUUACACCACCGAGAAUAAAUAUAAAGUAUAGCUUGAUCAAUCCCACGGGCUCGAAGAUAACAACCAUUAUAAAGUAAUGCCCCACAUUAAGAGGUUGUUUGGAUGCUCAACAUUUUAUGGAAUAAAUCAUAUAUUCGAGGAGAAGUUAAUUAUGUAGAGGGAGAGA